GACCUCCUAAGCCUAAACCUGGAUCCUCGUUAGGGUUCCUGGCAUUUACAGCUGAAGGGAGAGAAGGGAGUGACUCAGCUCCUUUGUUUCUAACUGUACUAAUUUCAAGACAGUGCAGCGAGGCAAGGAAGGAAAGGAAAUGGCUUUUUCUUUUUUUUUUGUUUUGGUACUGGAGAUUGAACUCACGACCUUGCACUUGCCAGGCAGGCACUUAUGCUGCUGAGCUAAACUCCCAGCCCAGAAAUGGCUUUUUCAACAAAUGGUGCUGGGAAAAGUGGAGAACUUAGUGCCAAAGGCUGAAGCUAGGUCUCUGUCUCAUGUCCUACAGACAAUGAAUUUCAGAAGCACACAGGCCCCAAACUCAGACCCCAGAGGCCUAAAGAACAACAUUGUCGUCUGAUCGCAUAUUUCAGUGUAAGAGCACCUGCCUACCAUACAAGAGUCCUGGCAUGGGAGUGCCGUCCCAUCCAAUGGAAAAUGGAAAACCAGAAGGAUCAUUUUCUGAUUGAAGAAGUCUGCUUGUCCAGGCAGGGUGGCACACACCUACAAUGAUAACCACCCAGGAGGUUGAGAUAAGAGCAUGGAAUCUGCGAGUCCAUCCAGGACAAUUUAGCAAGGCCCUGUGUCUAAAUAAAGUCAAACGUGCUGUGGAUUUAACCCAGUGCUACCUGUAUCAAGCUCAAAGCAUCACGGGAGUGCAGUGUUGGAAGAGUCUACUACGCUCAUAAGGAUGUCAAGCACAAUGUCAUGGAUCCUAUUUCAAUGGGUGGAAGAACAGAUGUGUAGAAAUGAAUUGAAGGGCACUACACUAAUAUUCAUGACACUGAUCACAAAGAGCAGUGUGAGUCAUGGACUGGGAGAAGAACCAAGAAGCCAACCCCCUCCUGUGAGCCAAUGACAGAAAGAAAGAAAGAAAGAAAGAAAGAAAGAAAGAAAGAAAGAAAGAACGAAAGGAAGAAAGGAAAGAAAAGAAAAGAAAGAAAAGACAUCUUUAUUAUGGGCACUGGAGGGCUGCCAACGAGAGGCAAAGAGAAGGCAGUUCCUAUGGAGCAUUAGGCUGCCCAGAGAGGCUCGGAAGAUUAAUCACAUGAUGGAGGCCUUCACUUUCGCUAUUGCCUGUGCAACCCAGGCGUCUUCCAGUCCACAGGUGAGCCAGCUCACAGUCUGACCUCAGCUCUGCUUCAGGACAAAGGCCUGCAGUACAGAGCACCCUAUUCCUGGGACCUUCUUUGCCUGCGCCAGCAGUCUUACCUGAGGUGCAGGGAGCCACUCUCAAAGGUUUCUGCUUUGCUCUUCCCUGUGGCCCUCAUACUCCAUGUCCAAACCUCAGUAGAGCUCAGGCUACCGAGCCCCCCGCUGUCCUCUGCCUUGUUGCAGACAUGUGCUAUGUGCUGUCAUUUGCCAUCAUCAUGCUGAACACCAGCCUGCACAACCACAACGUACGCGACAAGCCCACUGUGGAGAGGUUCAUCACCAUGAACCGUAGCAUCGGUGACCUCCCUGAGGGGCGGCUAAAGCUGAGUCUGUGAGACUGAGCUUCGGAGCCUCCUCAUGGUGGUGCUGUUCCUCUUCCUUCUUAACUGGACAUUUUGAAACUUCCAAGUGCUCUGCAGAUGGACAGUGAUGGUUCAUUCACUUUUUUUUUCUUUGCAGUACUGGGAAUCAAUUCAGGGGCAUUCUCCCACUCAGCCACCUCCCUAGCUGUUUUUAUGAUUAUUAUUUUUUAACCUUGAGACAGGGUCCCUUGGUUGGACUCCUGUCUCUGCCUCCCAGAGUUCAGUGAAUACAGGCCUGGGCCACCAGGCCCGGCUGGCUUAUUUACUGUAAGUGCAUCUCUUAAGUGUGUCUGGCUUACAAGUCCUGCUGCUCUUUAUGCUUAGUCUGUAUUGGAAAAGACAACAGAGAGAACAAUUACUUCAACUCUGGGAAUUUUUAAAAUUUGGUGCUAUUUUUCCCUUACAGAAUUUAUAAGAAAGUAUUAAGAAUGAACCCUUUAAGAUCCCAGACGAUGGUGGGAAUGAUCUGAUAUACAUGUUCUUUAAUUUUAUGGGGAAGGCUGGAUCCUGAAGCUGGGUGAGCCUGCUGUGUGUGCCCUGUCCACGGACCCCUAGCCCACCUGGCAGCUCCCUGGUCUCCCUCCCAUUCCUCAUAGCAGAGGCCCCUAAGCACAAGGCAGAAACAUAAAAAAGAGUGCAGUUGAACCAAAGCCCACUGUAAGCAGCCACAUAUCCCAGCACCAAUGGCUGCUUCCCUGAACAGUGGCCUCUCCAAGCAGGCUAUGGGUUCCAUGUCCAUGGCAGGGACUUCCCAACCCAUCCCAGAAAGCUGCUGAGUUGGCUUUCACCUAAAUGCAGGGCAGUUUUCUCUGCAAGAAGCAAGUGCAUUUACCUACAGAGAACCUGUGUGCCUUUCUCUUGGUUUGGCAUGGCUGUGAUUUAUGAUGAGUAGUUUAAAUGUGCCUUCUGGGGGACGGAGCAAAGAUGGUGGAUAGAUAACAGCUGGCUACAGAAGUUCCCUCAGAUAGUCAACUUAGAAUUCAGCAUAGUACAGUGUGGGAAGCCCGAACAGAGGGAGAUGAAUUCUCUCAUCCCAAGAAGAAACUAAAGUGAGAAGAACCAAUCAAACAUACAGUCCCGGUGCUAUUAUUGGAACAGCUAAAGGGUCAGUGCUCCUGCUGCUAUAGCAACUUGUGGAGCUGUCCGAGGUCCCACUGCUUCGACUCACUGGAGGCAGGCGCAGACACGCUGAGGUCGGGGGUCAGCCAGCUGAAUGGAGAGCUGAGCCUGCGAGGAGCCUGCAGCGACCUGUGGUGGGUGAUGGGAGUGGAGCCAUUCCACAGAAAGGGAGGCUUCGGUGGACAACAUUCUGGGAUCGGGCAGGACUGGCAAGUACAAGGGGCAACUGUGACUUCAGUCAGUUGUUCCCUUCCCGAACGGGAUUGGUGGAGUGCACAAGGCCUGGGUCACGUGACCUGGCUGAGACCCAAUAGGUUACCUGAAAUCAAUUCCCUAUGGCGGCGGUGCACACCAACCAUCCUAACACAGUGAAGCCUCAGAAGUUUGACUGACCCGGAGGUGAGUUGGCACAUAGUAAUACAGUGCAGGCCUCAGCAGCUUGACCGAUCCAGAGGGGAGAGGCCAGUUCAAGCUGCCCCUGUUUGCAACUCACUAGCAAACUGCAGUGGGAAGAGACACCUAGCCAGCGUGCUUCAGAAGAAUUGUAACCAACAAAGAACUAAACUGGGGCCUCCUGGAAGAAACAAAAAAGAUGGGAAGAGGAAGCAACAACAAAAAGUCCCUAGGUCCCAACCCUGAGAACAUUGACCCAGGACAGGUAAAUACAAAGGAGAAUGAGAACAGUAAACAAGCAAUAUCAGACACCAGUGGACAUAAAGAGAUAUCUUUGGGAUCUCAUAGACAAGUUCAAAAGUGAAAUAGUUAGCCAAGUAAAGCAAGAUAUAAUAAGAUUAAUAAAACAGAUGCUAAGCACCCCUCAAGCAGACACAGACAAAAGAAGGGAGGAACUCAAAGGAGAGAACCAUUUGAUGAAGAAUAUAAAAAAAUAUAGAAUACAUGAGGCAGAUUCAAAGAGAUCACCAGGAAAUUAAAAACUCUAUGGAAAGAUGGCAAAUCAGCUUGAAAGAAACUAAGGAUAGAUUAUCCAAACUGGAGGACAGUUUUGCAAUGUGGGAUUAUGAAAGGGAAAACUUUUUAAAAAUAACAAGGAAACAAGCAGUAAUAAUACAAAGGCUAGAAGAUGACAAGAGGAUCUACAACAUGAGAAUAAAGAAUGUGAAUGAAGAAGCAGGGGUACAAACAAAGGAACUACAAAGGCUAUUCACAGAAAUAACUAAGGAAAACUUCCCAAACAUAGGAAAAGGAAAUGAUAUUCUGAUGUAUGAGGCAUACAGAACUCCAGCCACCUACAACCAAAACAGAGCUACAGCCAGGCAUAUAAUAAUCAAGAUCCCAGAAAUUCAAUAUAAGAACAGAAUAUUAAAAGCUGUUUGAGACAAGAAACAGAUAACCAAAAAGGAAGGCCCAUCAGAAUAACAGUAGACUUCUCGACACAAAUCAUCAAGUCAAGAAGAGCCUGGAGCGAAAUAUUCCAAGCCCUGAAAGAAAAUAACCUCCAACCCAGAUUAAUAUACUUGGAUAAACUGUCUCUAGAAAUUAAUGGAGAAACAAGAUGCUUCCAAAACAAAGAGGAACUUGGGAAAUUCACAACCACCAAUCCAACUCUACAGAAAAUACUGCAGGGCAUUCUAGAGAGAGAGAGAAAAGUACUAGGAUUCCAGGAAAAGUGGCAGAGAAGCCAUAAUGAAUGGAACAGAAAACAGAAUGAAGAAGAAAAGCAGACAACUGAUGGCAAAAAAAGAGCAUAACAGAAAUGACACAGAGAAGGUUGGUUAUAAUCUCUAAUAUAGAUGGCCUUGAUACACUAAAUUAAAAAAACACACGUGGAGUAGAUCAGGAGGCAGGGUCCACCGAGAUACUAUUUAUAGGAAAUUAACAUGAAAAAGAGUAUGUGGGCUGAAAAUCAAACAUGAGAAAACAAUGCUCUAUGUGACAGAGAACCAGAGAGUAAUAGGGGCAGCUAGACCAGUAUUUGUGGAUAGGUUGGAAAGACAGGCUUUAGUAGGUAAAGGAAUACAAUUAGAGAUCAAGUCCAGGAGAGAGAAGGUUCGGAACCACUUAGGUAAAUAGCAUGUUGCUCCCCGCCCUCCAAUUUACAACGAAGGGUCUUGGUGAGACCCAGAAAUGCACAGUGUACCCUGGGGAAGUGAAAGAGGAGGGAGAGUCUUCAAAAAGAUGACAGAAGAUAUUGUUAUAGUGUAUCAGGAUUUAAAACCCACGUUACUCGCACCACUCUGCUUAGAUAGAUUUUAUUAUUAUUUUUGAUAGAUUUUAUUCUGUCCCAGUUUAUCUACCUGCAUUAGAUUUGGGGCACAGACAGCUAUCCCCAAAACAUCAGGAUAUAGCACAGUAAUCAUCUUUAAUUUCCUGUUGUCUCAAUCUGGAGCCCUAUAUGACUUAUAUUGUUUUAUCAUGAGUGAUCUUAGUUAAAUCUGGUUUGUUUGAUAAAUGUUUGUUUGUAUGAUAUCGACAGAUUUUAUUCAAAACUGGUAUGAUUUGGUUUGUUUGAUAUGACAGAUUCAAAACUGAUUGAUAGUAUCAAGUCUGAGAAUAUAGGUAACUACAUUGAAGAUGACAAGACUCUACAAUACACAUUCUGAUUUGAUAACUGCCUGCUUUUGAAGUUUUAUCCCCUAUACAAAGUUGUGUUUUUAUUAAUACUGUUAUGUACUAAUAUGUUCAAUUAUGCUAUGUCUGAUGAUAUAGCCAAUUCUAUUGAAGAUAACAAGAGACAACACAGGAACUAUGGUAGAACUCCUUGUACAAUGGUCUUAGGUCUUUUUUGUUUCAUGUGUUUAUAGGAAUAUGUUUUGUUUUGUCUUGCUUUGUUUUGUUUCUCCCUCUAAUUUAGAAAGGGUAGGAAUACAUGUUAAGACUCAUGCAUGUGUGAAAUCUAUAAACAGUUUAUGAGAACUGAUCUUAUGACACAUGAUGAAAUGAACAGAUACUUUGAAGAGACACUAAAGUACCCAGUGCUGAUCCUGGAGUGACAUAAUUUGACACCCAGCAACAGUAUUAUUCUUUGUUCAGAGUGAUAUUAGACUGCUUGAGUUUGUUCAAUCUCAACAUAAUUGAAGAUAUGGAUAACUGCAUGUAUGUUUAAGUGUAUAGGAUUGAUAACCAUAUUUCUAAGUUUUUGUUGAAUAUUUGAACAGAACUGUUUGCAGUCUCUCUGUUUGAAGUCCCACUUUACAUGUUCCACUUUUGUAUCUGGAACAACUAUUUGUAAAAGGACAAUGUGUAAACAUCAACUAGUGAUUUCUUACUGUUUAUUUUUUGUCUGGACGUAUGUAUUAUUUCUACCCAUUUUCUGUUUUGUUUAGUCUUCUUUUAAGUAAAAUUAAAAAAAAUAAAUGUGCCUUCUUGUUUUCCUGUGGCUCCCACCUUUCUGUUCUGUGACGGGCUG